rnacentral:rRNA from 1 species
GACGAACGCUGGCGGCGUGCUUAACACAUGCAAGUCGAGCGGAAAGGCCCUUUCGGGGGUACUCGAGCGGCGAACGGGUGAGUAACACGUGAGUAAUCUGCCCUGGACUCUGGGAUAGCCACCGGAAACGGUGAUUAAUACCGGAUAUGACACCUUGCUGCAUGGUGGGGUGUGGAAAGUUUUUUCGGUCCAGGAUGGGCUCGCGGCCUAUCAGCUUGUUGGUGAGGUAAUGGCUCACCAAGGCUUUGACGGGUAGCCGGCCUGGGAGGGUGACCGGUCACACUGGGACUGAGACACGGCCCAGACUCCUACGGGAGGCAGCAGUGGGGAAUAUUGGACAAUGGGCGGAAGCCUGAUCCAGCAACGCCGCGUGAGGGAUGACGGCCUUCGGGUUGUAAACCUCUUUCAGUACCGACGAAGCGUGAGUGACGGUAGGUACAGAAGAAGGACCGGCCAACUACGUGCCAGCAGCCGCCGUAACAC